rnacentral:rRNA from 1 species
UACAGAGGGUGCAAGCGUUGUUCGGAAUUAUUGGGCGUAAAGCGCGUGUAGGCGGCUUUGCAAGUCGGGUGUGAAAGCCCUCAGCUUAACUGAGGAAGUGCGCCCGAAACUGCAGAGCUUGAAUACCGGAGGAGGAUGGCGGAAUUCCCCAAGUAGAGGUGAAAUUCGUAGAUAUGGGGAGGAACACCGGUGGCGAAGGCGGCCAAUCGUGGACGGCUAGUUGACGCUGAGACGCGGAAAGCGUGGGGAGCAAACAGGG